CCUACGGGUGGCUGCAGUCGGGAAUUUUGGGCAAUGGGCGAAAGCCUGACCCAGCAACGCCGCGUGAAGGAUGAAGUCCUUCGGGAUGUAAACUUCGGAAGAAUGGGAAGAAUAAAUGACGGUACCAUUUUUAAGCCCCGGCUAACUCCGUGCCAGCAGCCGCGGUAAUACGGAGGGGGCAAGCGUUGUUCGGAUUUACUGGGCGUAAAGGGCGCGUAGGCGGCGCAACAAGUCACUUGUGAAAUCUCCGGGCUUAACUCGGAACUGCCAAGUGA
rnacentral:rRNA from 1 species